UCUCAGAGUACCAAUGGCUUUGUUUCCCUGGAGUCAGGAUGUGGAGUCAGCAGAGGGCAGUAGAACUCUGGAAAUGAGGGCAGACUUCCUGUUCCUGGCGGGCACAGGCGGUUUCUGUGCUUUCUCACCACACAGAUCGGAAAGAAAUGGCAAAUGGAUACAUGAUACGCAGGUCUUCAACAAGUAACCAGCCAUUAACUUUUGAUUACUAUACGAUCAUUUCGUAGCAGUUUUCAAAACAGUACAGAACUGAAAACAAAGAUUAGUGGCAAGCUUGUGACUGGAGUGAGCCGAAGACGAGACUGCUGUCAUCUUAGAAGCAUCGCUAAUAACUUACAGAGAUAGCAGAGUUCAGUAUCAGCAGCAGCAGCAGCAGCAGAAGCAUGCUCCCUGACGUUGGUCGGCUGCCAGCUGGGUGACUUUCAAGGUUCUCUCUGCUUUAUGUAGGAGCUGCUUCAAUCUUCUAUGAGUUGCAUACUGUAAAGAAGCACAUUUAAAGUGAGGUCCAAAGAUAUCACAUCAAAAUCCACAUAAAGACUGACAUGGAGAUGCUGGGUGUCCAGGGCUUGUAAGUGAAGAUUUGGCCCUAUUUGCAGUGAGGACCAGUGUGAUUUCUGUCAUUGACUGCUUUAUGUCCAGAAUCCAACAUAAUAUGUACCUCAGGGUGGGACUUGAUAAUCUGCUCAUAGUCUGUCUUCUACUGAUAAUAAGUAAAAGAAUGAA